rnacentral:rRNA from 1 species
AGAGUUUGAUCCUGGCUCAGAGCGAACGCUGGCGGCGUGCUUAACACAUGCAAGUCGAGUGCGCAGUUUUCUGUAGCAAUACAGGGAAUGGGCGCACGGCGCACGGGUGAGUAACACGUGGGCAACCUGCCCUCCAAAAGGGGAUAACCCGCCGAAAGGCGGGCUAAUACCGUAUGACAUUACGAUUGCUUCGGCGAAUGUAAUCAAAGGCCGCAAGGCCGUUGGGGGAGGGGCCCGCGCCCGAUUAGCUAGUUGGCGAGGUAACGGCUCACCAAGGCUUUGAUCGGUAGCCGGUCUGAGAGGAUGGCCGGCCACACUGGAACUGAGACACGGUCCAGACUCCUACGGGAGGCAGCAGUGGGGAAUCUUGCGCAAUGGGCGAAAGCCUGACGCAGCGACGCCGCGUGGGGGAUGAAGCAUCUCGGUGUGUAAACCCCUUUCGACCCGGAAGAAUGUCCCGCAAGGGAUUGA